rnacentral:tRNA from 3 species
GAGAUGCGCGAAAUGGGUGUCAGCGGCGUCCUGAUCUUUUAAUCACGGGGUCCUGGGUUCGAGCCCCAGCGCGCUCACCA